rnacentral:ncRNA from 1 species
AAUCACUAAAGGCAAACCAUCUGAAAAGAUGUGACGCAAAGUUAGAAGUCUAAAGUACUGAAUAGUGCUAUGAUAGUUCGACUGCCAAA